rnacentral:rRNA from 1 species
UACGUAGGGUGCAAGCGUUAAUCGGAAUUACUGGGCGUAAAGCGUGCGCAGGCGGUUCUGUAAGACAGGUGUGAAAUCCCCGGGCUCAACCUGGGAACUGCAUUUGUGACUGCAUCGCUGGAGUGCGGCAGAGGGGGAUGGAAUUCCGCGUGUAGCAGUGAAAUGCGUAGAUAUGCGGAGGAACACCGAUGGCGAAGGCAGCCCCCUGGGUCGACACUGACGCUCAGGCACGAAAGCGUGGGGAGCAAACAGG